rnacentral:rRNA from 1 species
CCUACGUGUGGCAGCAGUGGGGAAUAUUGCGCAAUGGGCGAAAGCCUGACGCAGCGACGCCGCGUGAGGGAUGAAGGUCUUCGGAUCGUAAACCUCUGUCAGCAGGGAAGAACGGUCACUGUGCUAAUCAGCAGUGAAUUGACGGUACCUGCAAAGGAAGCACCGGCUAACUCCGUGCCAGCAGCCGCGGUAAUACGGAGGGUGCGAGCGUUAAUCGGAAUUACUGGGCGUAAAGCGCUCGUAGGCGGUAUGUCAAGUCAAGGGUGAAAUCCCCGCGCUCAACGUGGGAACUGCCUUUGAAACUGGCAAACUGGAGUGUGUGAGAGGAUAGUGGAAUUCCAGGGGUAGGAGUGAAAUCCGUAGAUAUCUGGAGGAACAUCAGUGGCGAAGGCGACUAUCUGGCACAUAACUGACGCUGAGGAGCGAAAGCGUGGGUAGCAAACAGGAUUAGAGACCCCGGUAGUC